rnacentral:rRNA from 1 species
GUGGGGAAUCUUCCACAAUGGACGAAAGUCUGACGGAGCAACGCCGCGUGAGUGAUGAAGGUUUUCGGACUGUAAAGCUCUGUUGUUUAGGACGAAAGUGCCUGUUGCGAAUAGUUACAGGUAUUGACGGUACUGAACGAGGAAGCCACGGCUAACUACGUGCCAGCAGCCGCGGUAAUACGUAGGUGGCAAGCGUUGUCCGGAAUUAUUGGGCGUAAAGAGCAUGUAGGCGGGAAUCUAAGUCUGUUGUGAAAAUGCGGGGCUCAACCCCGUAUUGCGAUGGAAACUGGGUUUCUUGAGUGCAGGAGAGGAAAGGGGAAUUCCCAGUGUAGCGGUGAAAUGCGUAGAUAUUGGGAGGAACACCAGUGGCGAAGGCGCCUUUCUGGACUGUGUCUGACGCUGAGAUGCGAAAGCCAGGGUAGCGAACGGGAUUAGAAACCCCGGUAGUCC